CGGACGGGUGAGUAACGCGUAGGAAUCUACCCAGUAGUGGGGGGACAACAUGGUGAAAACCAUGCUAAUACCGCAUACGCCCUAUGGGGGAAAGCGGGGGACCUUCGGGCCUCGCGCUAUUGGAUGAGCCUGCGUCGGAUUAGCUGGUUGGUGAGGUAAAAGCUCACCAAGGCGACGAUCCGUAGCUGGUCUGAGAGGAUGAUCAGCCACACUGGAACUGAGACACGGUCCAG
rnacentral:rRNA from 1 species